AAUUCCUUUCUCUCUCUAGAACAGAAAUUUUGCCCAAACUCAAAUGUUCUGCCUUCUCUCUAAAAUUCUAGCAGAUUGAACCGUUGAAUCUUUGUUUUGUUGCUGCAAAAUCGUUCCUGGCGUGGAGAGCUUCGAUUCCCACCGAAAAAUUUCUUCAUUUCAUCGAGUAAGUAAAUUUUCCCCUUUCUCUUCAGUGUCUUGACCUAGGGCACCCAAUUUUUCUGGUUACAUGUGCUUUUUGUACUUUGUUUUCCCUUCUCCGUAUGUUCUAGCUCUAAAAGGCUGUCUCUAUCACCAAUUUGGUGAUUUAUAGGUGUUGUUGAAGUUCUGUCCUGUGAGGGCACUGUUAGAAAGUCUCCAUUUAGCUUUACUGUAGCGUGGUACCAGGUAAGGGGAGCUACUUAUACUUUUAUUUUAUUUGUUGCGAAGUGACUGUUUGAGAAAUCUGAAUUGCUAUGUGAAUUUAAACUGUAUUUUGGUUCUACACAUCCCUUUUGGUAAGAACUGAUGAAUCUGUUUGAGUGAUUAUGCAUGUUGAAUUAAAUAUGUGAUAUAUUGUGAGCAUGUGUUGUUACUGUCCUUAAGUGUUUAACUUAGUAUGCGCUGAAUUUGACUGAAAUGAUGAUCCUGGGAAUGAUUCCUGUUUAUAUAUUGAUUGUGAUGUGCUCUGAAGGAAUUUGAUAAAUCUAGUUGCUGGAAUAAGUUGGGGGUGAUACUGAUUUGAUGGAAAAAAAAUGGGUUGAGUGUAGCCUCAGAUUCUAUGAGAGGGGAUGUAUAACUUUGGGAAUCAGGGAACUAAAAAUAAUAGGCUACUUAUAUAACCAGCAAGGAAAUUGGGUUGUGUUGGAUUGGGAAAAAAAGGAAACAUUAUAAGUUAUUUUGAGGGAAUAUGUAUAUAUAUAUACACACACGUAGCAUAUUAUAUAUAUUGUGACAUAAUAUUAAUAUAUAGGUAUUUAUAAAAUAUAGUUACGUAACACAUAUAAAUUAUACUAAUAUUAUAUAACAGUAUAUAUACGUUAUUAUAUUUUAUUAAUAUAAUAUAGUUUUAUAUAUAAUAAUAGGUUUGUUAUAAUAUAAUAUUAUAAUAUAAUGUUAUAAUAUAAUAUUAUUAAUAGGUUUUAUAUAUGAAAGUACGAUCCAAGUGGUAAACUAAGUUUCAUUUGUGUGGAAUCUCUUGGUAAGAUUCUUAGUGUUUUAGAAUGAAAGUAGGAGCUCAGCCUUGGGGGUUUUCCUGACGCUCCAAUGACCUUUCUUCUCACAUAGAGUGGAUUGGAUCAUGUGGUGAGGAGUAGCAGGAAGUCUUAGUCUCGGAGGCUUCCAGUAUGCUCCAAGGCGCGGAACAGACUAACCUCGUGAGUGUGGUAGGGUGGGGAACCCAAGUUUCAUAAGCCACCACGGGUGCAUGACCCGCCAUAGCUCGACUCUCAUUCUAAAGUCCGGACGAGUCAAGUCUAGAAUAUAACAUACUAGGAUCUCUGUUAUAAAUUGUCUUGUAUGUAUUUUACUUGAGUUAAAUCUGAUAUGUAUAUGUUGCUAUAAUUGUAUGCUUUUUAUAUAAUCAGCUCACCCUUGCAUUUGCUUGUAUUUGUGCCAUGUUGUAUGUUUUUCUUUUGCAAUGAUCAUCCACUUGGAUCUGAGCAGAGGAGAAUGAAGUCUUUGUGAAGAACGUAUUGGAGGAAAAUGGAGAUGCAGCUGCUUAGUUCCUUAGGAAGUUUUAUGCCCUCUAAUAUUAUCUUAACAUUUCCAGUUUCUGUAUUUUUGAAUCCUUUAGUACUUUAAGUUUUAAUAUCCUCUGAAUUCUGGAUUACUGUAAUCCUUAAAUUUUAAUUCCUUAGAAUCUUAAUUAUCAUCCUUUAUUCUAA
rnacentral:lncRNA from 1 species